UACGUAGGCAGCAAGCGUUGUUCGGAAUUACUGGGCGUAAAGCGUACGUAGGCGGCUUUGUAAGUUAGAGGUGAAAGCCCGGGGCUCAACUCCGGAAUUGCCUUUAAGACUGCAUCGCUUGAAUCAUGGAGAGGUGAGUGGAAUUCCGAGUGUAGAGGUGAAAUUCGUAGAUAUUCGGAAGAACACCAGUGGCGAAGGCGACUCACUGGACAUGUAUUGACGCUGAGGUACGAAAGCGUGGGGAGCAAACAGG
rnacentral:rRNA from 1 species